UUAUUGUUCUACUUCUAGGGUUUCUGUUUCUACCCUUUAAAAUCCUUGCAAUCUUAUAUGCUGCAGUGCCGAUUCAAAAGCAGACUGUUGCAAACUCUACUGUCCAAAUGAUUAUUGCGCUGGCAUUCAUAAAUAUUAGCUUGCUUUACGUGGAGCUUAAGAAGAUUGACGAGAUUUGUUGUGAACUCAUUCUGGGAUGGUGAACGAAAGUCGUAGCAUUGAUUGUCACUUAUUGAGGUCAGAUCUCUUUUCGGAGUCUCAGAGGAUUCAAUAAACAAUCCAAACCCGAACCCAGGGUAUUCCAGAUGCUCGCACAUAUCUUUUGGAUUUGAAGGAGAUACGGCUCAAGUAUACAAUUAUCCGAGGGAGCGGCCUUUCACCUUUGAGGAAGAUAGAUGAAGUUCGAGAAAUGUUUGCAAAAUUCAUUACCAGUGAUUGUCUUUGAUAUUUUCUUGUACUGAAUCUUAAAUUAUGGAUGCUAGCUAGUUUUUCAUAUGAUUGUAAUGUAAUCGAAUUUUAUAUUUACAAUUAUUUACUAUUUAAUUUAAUUAUCUAUGUAAUUGGAUACUUUUUAUAUGACGUAUGGAGGUUAAUCA